CUCGUCUUGACCCUUCCAAAUUGCUCCCCAAAUCGAACCCUAAGCAAAUCGAAUCUCACCCCGAGGCCCCCUUCCUCUUCCCCGGCGCCGCCGCCGCCCAGCCACCUGACCGGAGUGCCCUAGCAACCUCCUCAUCCACCGGCGAGCACCCUUCGCCGCUUCCUCCUUAACCUCUGCCACAUCAAGCGUCGGCUUCCUUCCCCGACCCAAGUCGCCGCUCCCAGACAACCUCCGCCGCGCCUCAAUGCUGCCUCCCGAAACUUUCUCUCCGGGCAGCACCACGACCAGCUCCCCCGCCAUCGUCUACUUGCUCGCUUCCUCAAGCAGCACCGACUCAUCCAGGAGCUCCUCCCGUCAGCAGCACCUCCUCCUCUAGGAGCCUCCCCUAAGAACCAGUCCUCCACCAAAUUGUUACGUUCAUGCUUGCAGUGAAUAUAUGAGGAGCUGAUGGUUUCUUCUAUCUAUUGGCAGUCUAUCUGUACAUUUACUUGUUGGGGAGUACUUUGUACUUAGCCGUAUGGUUUAUCUUUUGCUUAUGGAUUUGCAAAAACUGGUAUUCCAAGAUUCUUGUAUCUUGAAUUAAUAAAAAAGCAGGGCCGGAUUGGGCCAGUUCGCCAAAAAAAUUGUACUUUCAUCUGUAGGGCUAUGUCAAAAUGUGUCAUAUUAGCUUGGAUGCAAUAUAUAAUGUGCAAAAUUCUAGUCAUGCUGUUUUACUUUUCCCCUGUAGUUUAGUUACAUUUUGGAAUAUACAGGUGCAAUAAUUUUGCUCUACAAUAAGACUGUUGUUUUGUUGCUGAUAAUUAUAACAUUUUGGAUGCUCGUUGUUUAUUUUCUACAUACAGGUUUGGUGGUAGUGCUGGUCUCUGUGGCUUAGUUUCUGAUGUUUAGAGGGUACCCCUAAAGGGGGACUAACCUGAGACAUGUGGUUGUGUUCUAUUAGUUUUUAGUAAUGGAAAUUGGAGCUAUGCUCCUAGGUAGGAUUUUUUUUGGAAAAAUGGGUCAUGAGGCUAGCUGAGUAUUGUGCUCUUUUGUUCUAUAUGUAAUCCUGACAAACAGUUCUCUAAUUUUCACUUGGUGCUUUCACUGAAAUAAACUUUUCAGUUUGUUUGUCCAAUGAGCAGCGUGGAUCUUCUUUGUCCUCUCCACCAAGCAGCGUCGACUACGCCAUCUCCCCCCAGGUAGUGCCUCAUCUAUGUCCUUGGCCCCAAGCAGUGUCCAAAAUUCGGAGCUGAUAUGAUAUAUUGUAUGUUGUUUGCAUAUUGAUGAUCUGGUAAGCAUUACAAUGUUGGACAUGACCAAUUUCUUAACAGGAGAUCUCUGACUAAGAAAUACCUUCCUUAAAAAGCAUGAAUUGUAAAGCAUGUGCGAUGAAUAUAUUUCACUUCAAUUAUUGCAUGUGCGAUGAUCUUACUUAGCAUUUCAUUUCUUAUAUGCUUCAUGCAAAUGAAACUACAGUAAACAUACAAACUGAGGUUUUGCUUGCCCUGUGUAUGCAUGUCCUGAAUGUGCUUUGCCUUUGUAUGCAUACAGUUACCGGAAGCUUUUACAUGUACUAGAACUGGCUUUUGCAUGCCCUGUGUAUUCUGAAGCUUAGUCUUUUUUUAUUGGGCAGUAAUUGAAACAGAGUUGUUGGUCUGCCUGCCAUAGAACCAUUUAUGAAGAUCAUAGGAGUUGCCUUCUCAUGUAUUCCUAUGCAUAGUCCAGUACAUAUUUCCGUGUGUAAAAAGUUGUUGGUCUUGCUGUAGAUUCACACUGAAAGUUGAAAAUUAUGCUAGUAGAAAUAGGUGUUCUAGUAUAUCUGACUACUUGCUUUGGAAUAGUUAUUUCUUGAUAUUAUCUGAUCCCAUCCCAUGUAUAUUUCUAUAAAAAGCUUUAUGAACCGAGUUCACUACAACUUGAAGUCUUGUGCAUGGAAGGGAAUUGAGAUAUUUGCUCAUUCUGUACUAGUUAAAAUGUAUGUGUUGAUAUUCUACUCAUUUUGGUUCAUGCCGCUCUUAAUUCUUCUUGUAUGAGCACUUAUAGUGUUGUAAGGUUGAAGGUUCAAGAUACUACACUUCAGUACACACAUGUUCAUCUUUACUUGAAAUCUAAUUUGCAUGUUGGUUGGUGUUCUUCAAGAAUCAGGGUACUAAUUUGUGAUAUGAUUGGUGAAAGAGGUAUUUUGCACGGUUCAUUUAUAUCCUACAUGUCUUUUUUCCCUCUAUAUAUAGUAGCAUUAUUCGAAAAUGUUCUUGUAUUUCCUCUCAGAGGAUCACACCUGAAUAUCAUUAUAUAUGCUUCUGAAAAAGUUCUGUAUGUUCUUUUGAGUUAAGCCUACUUGCCUUUGUGUGCUUAUACAAAAAGAUAAGAUCCUGUGAUGUAAAAAAUUCAUAUAGGUUGUGGAUGUCACUUCCUUUUUCUUGAACGUUGUCCCUAUUUUGUCCUAUGUACAGACAAAUUUGGUGAUUCUUCACUUUCUGGAAAGUAAACUUAAUACCAAAGGUAAUCACACCAUGCCAUAUGGGUUUCAUUAUCUGUCCAGACCUGAAACUGUUGUCAUGCUUUCCAGGAAGUGUAACUUGAUGUGCUUAAUUCGUGCGCCCAAACUUGAAACUAUUGACAUUUGUUAGUUUCUUAUUAAAUCGAAUGUUCAUUUGAUGCCUUGAAAGGAAAUUUGUUGAGAAAAUCUCUUGAUUAUGUAGAUGUUUUUCUUAUAAAAAAUGGAGGUGGAGCCCUCUGUAAAUUCUUUGAGUAUCGUAAUAAAUGUAAUGGAGAUUAUGUUUUCUAAUACAUGUACUUGUUAUUUGGUCACUUCCUGUCUAGGUUGAAAAUGUUCCUGCAAGACUGGUUAAGACACCUUGCUGUAACCAUAUGUGUUGAGCUCACACAGAAGACCUGACAAGCUUUACUCUUUGUGUUUGUUACAUUUUGUACUGCUCGGAUGUCUAGGAACUGCGAAUGCUAAAUUAUGAGGAAGUCUUCGGGUGUACUCAAUUAAUUGUAUACAUUGUAAAAUGUUUGAUGAUGAGAUUUUAUAAUAUAUAUGUGAAGUGCAUCUGCAGAA